AGUUCCAACCCCUCCCAUCUGAGAGAGCUGGACCUGAGCUACAAUCAUCCAGAAGACUCAGGAGUGAAGCUACUGUCAGCGGGACUGAAGGAUCCUCUCUGGAGACUGGAAACUCUCAGGGUGGAGCCUUCUGGAGUCAGAUGGUUGACACCAGGUCUGAAGAAGUAUUCCUGUGAACUCACACUGGACACAAACACAGUGAACAGAAAACUCAAACUGUCUG